rnacentral:lncRNA from 1 species
GAAUACCUUCAAUCAAUCGCUCAUCGACCGCCCCUUCACUCAACCAUGCACCUACCGGCGAUCGGAACAACAACAUCAUACACGGUCUGACCUUUAUGUGUCAUUGUCUUCCACUUUCACCAUCAACGUCACCGCCACUGUCCUCCGUUUACCGGUAACAGCGGCAGUUAGGGUUUCAAAGAUGCAACUCCAUCAGUAACGACGUUUAGGGUUCCGGACCUGAUCUGUUUCAGAUGUGGCAAAAGGAGGCUACGGUUUUAUGAUGUAAACAAAAACUUGAGUGCUGUUAUUGCAGAAAUUCUUGAGACCAAAUCGUCCAUCUCAAAUUCUAUGACACCAAGGACAAACCGAAGAGACCAUACGGACAUCAUCAUCAUGCAGGGAUGGAGUCAGAAAUGUAUCAACUAUGGAGUUUAUCCAACGAAUACUGCCAGGAGGGAACAAUUUUAAUCAGAAUAAACUGGACAUGAUAUUUUACAAGCAAGUUCUAUCAAAGAUUCGAUAGAAAAAUUGCAAGACCAUUGAGAAGAUAUUCUUCUAAUGGUGGUCGUGAGUUGGUUAUGUAACUAGAGAACAAUACUACGGGGCAAAAGCCAACAUAAAUGUGUGGGAUCCAAAGGUGACGGAUCGAUUUCUUUUGGUGAUGGUCUCAACACCAUUGAAGCUGGUUGGUAGGUAUAUUUCUUCAACGCAUACAUACAUAUCCCUGCAUAUGGUUCUAGAAGAAGAAUUAGGUACUAUUAUUCUCUUAAUUUGUUUGUAGUUUGUUACUAUUUGAUUUAGGAACCAUACAAUUGUACUCUGUUUUGUAUGUUUACGAGUAUUGAGUUAGGCUGUACAAAUACCAUAAUCAAAUGGUUUUCUUAAUAAUGUACAUUGUAAUGGCGAAAUUACGAUUAACAAGCUGACACCACGCAGUCAGCUGCUU